GCCAUCCUUUCCUUGGGGUUGCGCUACUGUCCAAGGAGCACACAGUGAGGGCAGCACUGCUAACACCUCCACAACACACUCCGGUCAACUAGAGCUUUGCUUUAUAUUGGUGAAAUUUUGGGAAAG
ensembl:snRNA